rnacentral:rRNA from 1 species
CGCGUAGGCGGGGAGGUAAGUCGGGUGUGAAAUCCCUCGGCCCAACCGAGGAACUGCGCCCGAGACUGCUUCUCUUGAGUCCCGGAGAGGAAGGUGGAAUUCCCGGUGUAGCGGUGAAAUGUGUAGAGAUCGGGAGGAACACCGGUGGCGAAGGCGGCCUUCUGGACGGUGACUGACGCUGAGGCGCGAAAGCGUGGGGAGCAAAACCGG